UACAGAGGUCUCAAGCGUUGUUCGGAUUCAUUGGGCGUAAAGGGUGCGUAGGUGGUUCGGUAAGUCGGAUGUGAAAUCUCCAGGCUCAACCUGGAGGGGUCAUUCGAUACUGCCGUGACUAGAGUUCGGUAGAGGAGUGUGGAAUUCCUGGUGGAGCGGUGAAAUGCGCAGAGAUCAGGAGGAACACCCGUAGCGAAGGCGGCACUCUGGGCCGAUACUGACACUGAGGAGCGAAAGCGUGGGGAGCGAACAGG
rnacentral:rRNA from 1 species